AACGACUAGAACAACAACAAAACAGCACCACCAUCAUCAUCGUCAAUUCGACAUUGUCAUAAUCACCAUAAUCACCACCUCUACUAUCAUCACCAUAAUCAUUAUUAUCACCACCAUCCUCAUCACCAUCAUCACCACCAUUAUCAAAUCACCACUAACAACAGUAAUGUACAUUACAUAAUCAAACAUUUUAAACUACACUCCCAUUCUAGUUGGACCGACCUUCAAAGAAACACCUCCAAUCUCAAAAGGCGUAUUUCAACACCAAAAAGUCACAGUUAAUUGUGUUGCAAUUGGAGAUCCUGCGCCGACAAUCACAUGGACAAAAAAUGAUCGGAAACAGUCAAUCACGCAAAAAACGCGUGCUGAAUUAAAGAUAAAGUCCUUCGACGUUUCUGAUGAAGGAAACUAUUCAUGCACAGCGGAAAAUGAUCUUGGAAGUAAAGUGGUUGCGAUUAUUAGACUAUGU